GGGUAAAAUGAGGAGGAAUAAACUGCAACAAUAUGAUGGAGCAAUGCUCCUGUGAUUCUGAGUAUUUAAAUAUCUGAUGAUACC